CCUACGGGUGGCAGCAGUGAGGAAUAUUGGUCAAUGGACGAGAGUCUGAACCAGCCAAGUCGCGUGAAGGAUGACUGCCCUAUGGGUUGUAAACUUCUUUUAUAUGGGAAUAAAUUGUUCCACGUGUGGGAUUUUGUAUGUACCAUAUGAAUAAGGAUCGGCUAACUCCGUGCCAGCAGCCGCGGUAAUACGGAGGAUCCGAGCGUUAUCCGGAUUUAUUGGGUUUAAAGGGUGCGUAGGUGGAUUGUUAAGUCAGUUGUGAAAUUUUGGGGCUCAACCCUAGAAUUGCCGUUGAAACUGGCGGUCUUGAGUAGAGUAGAGGUAGGCGGAAUUCGUGGUGUAGCGGUGAAAUGCUUAGAGAUCACGAAGAACUCCGAUUGCGAAGGCAGCUCACUGGACUGCAACUGACGCUGAGGCUCGAAAGUGUGGGUAUCAAACAGGAUUAGAUACCCUAGUAGUC
rnacentral:rRNA from 1 species